rnacentral:rRNA from 1 species
CCUACGGGAGGCAGCAGUGAGGAAUAUUGGUCAAUGGUCGGGAGACUGAACCAGCCAAGCCGCGUGAGGGAGGAAGGUACAGAGUAUCGUAAACCUCUUUUGUCAGGGAACAAAGGCGGGGACGUGUCCCCGGAUGAGUGUACCUGAAGAAAAAGCAUCGGCUAACUCCGUGCCAGCAGCCGCGGUAUACGGGGGAUGCGAGCGUUAUCCGGAUUUAUUGGGUUUAAGGGGGGCGAGGGCGGUCUGUUAAGUCAGCGGUAAAAGCCCGGGGCACAACCCCGACCCGCCGUUGAAACUGGCAGUCUCGAGUUGGAGAGAAGUAUGCGGAAUGCGCGGUGUAGCGGUGAAAUGCAUAGAUAUCGCGCAGAACUCCGAUUGCGAAGGCAGCAUGCCGGCUCCACACUGACGCUGAGGCACGAAAGCGUGGGUAUCGAACAGGAUUAGAUACCCUUGUAGUC